GACGAAGGUGGCAAGCGUUGUUCGGAAUCACUGGGCAUAAAGCGUGCGUAGGCGGCCAGAUCAGUCGGGUGUGAAAUCCCUCGGCUCAACCGAGGAACUGCGCCCGAUACUGUCUGGCUUGAGGUCCGGAGGGGAGAGUGGAAUUCCCGGUGGAGCGGUGAAAUGCGUAGAGAUCCGGAGGAACACCAGUGGCGUAGGCGGCUCUCUGGGUCCGCCCUGACGCUGAGGCGCGAAAGCGUGGGGAGCGAACGGG
rnacentral:rRNA from 1 species